GCAGCACUUAGAAAGGAUCAGGAACGACUUUGUUCUCCACCAAAGUUACCAAAACACAGCUAAAACAGCUAACUCCAAAGUAAAUGUUUAUGAGGUAACUAAAACAGCUAUAUCCCAUGCUCAACUCAGCAAAUGGCAGAAACUACACAGGUCAAUCAACUUCAUGCUUGACAGUCUAUGUAUUGAACAACUAAUGAACCUCAUUCAAAAUUUCUUAAUAUCAUCUAUUUUUUAAUUUUACUGCAAUAUGCAAGGCUUUACAUUUCAAAUAUUACGACAUACAUUUCACA